CUUCAGUCACUAGUGAGAUGCUCUUACAUUCACUAGUGUGAUGCUCUUAAAUUUACUAGUGAGAUGCUCCUACAGUCACUAGUGAGAUGCUAUUACAUUCACUAGUGUGAUGCUCUUACAUUCACUAGUGAGAUGCUCUUACAUUCACUAGUGAGAUGCUCCUACGGUCACUAGUGAGAUGCUCUUACAUUCACUAGUGAGAUGCUCCUACAGUCACUAGUGAGAUGCUCCUACAGUCACUAGUGAGAUGCUCUUACAUUCACUAGUGAGAUGCUUCUAGUCACUAGUGAG
ensembl:lncRNA